CGGACGGGUGAGAAUACAUCGGAAUCUACUCUGUCGUGGGGAUAACGUAGGGAAACUUACGCUAAUACCGCAUACGACCUACGGGUGAAAGCAGGGGAUCUUCGGACCUUGCGCGAUUGAAUGAGCCGAUGUCGGAUUAGCUAGUUGGCGGGGUAAAGGCCCACCAAGGCGACGAUCCGUAGCUGGUCUGAGAGGAUGAUCAGCCACACUGGAACUGAGACACGGUCCAGACUCCUACGGGAGGCAGCAGC
rnacentral:rRNA from 1 species